UACGGGGGGGGCAAGCGUUGUUCGGAAUUACUGGGCGUAAAGGGCGCGUAGGCGGUUCGCUAAGUUGGAUGUGAAAACUCUGGGCUCAACCCAGAGCCUGCAUCCAAAACUGGCGGGCUAGAGUUCUGGAGGGGUAGCGGAAUUCCUGGUGUAGCGGUGAAAUGCGUAGAUAUCAGGAGGAACACCGGUGGCGAAGGCGGCUACCUGGACAGAAACUGACGCUGAGGCGCGAAAGCCUAGGGGAGCAAACAGG
rnacentral:rRNA from 1 species